rnacentral:rRNA from 13 species
ACUUUGAAAAGAGAGUUAAAGAGUGCUUGAAAUUGCUAAAGGGGAACCCGUUGGUACCAGUGUGGCGU